UUAUAUUAGAUUCAUGUGGGAAGAUAUUAAAAAAAAAAAAAAACCACUGAGUGACUUCCCUGGUGGUCCAGUGGUCAAGACUCUGCGCUUCUGCUGUAGGGGGCGUAGGUUUGAUCCCUGGUGGAGAGAACUAAGAUCCCACAUGCUGCGUGGCAUGGCCAAACAAACAAACAAAAAACGAUAUCCCAGGCUUCAUCAGUUAAGUCAGAACUUCUGGGAACGGGAUACAGGUAAAGAGAGUUUUUCAAAAAUGUUUCUCGGGUGAGUCUAGUGUGCAGCUGAAAUUGAAAACCACUGAGCCUAGAAUAGGGUCAAAUAGUCUUACUGUCUUUAGUCUCUACCUGUUUUAAUCCAUGUUUUACAUUAUUUUUAUGUUAAUCUUCUUAAAACUGUGAUUUUCGAAGACUUAUUGGUUAUACAGAAACAGUUACAGUGCUGUGAAUAGUAUCUGCAAAGGGAACAUUUUAGGUAUAUAAUUUUGUGAUACUGGAGUGAAAGUGAGCAAACUUGGGUUCUAGGCUCAGUUCUGCCACUUUUUAACUUGGGGAUUGUAGGCAAAUGGCUACAUCUUUCUGAGCUUUGGUUAUGUCAGUGGUCACAUGGAGAGACUCAUCACUACCAUGUGUAUCUCGCAGCUCAGUAAGGGUCAAAUGAGAAAAAUGCAUUUUUAAAAAACGCCACCAACUGUCUUAAGGGUAUCAUGGCGCAUUACUAUUAUUAAUUAACAAGUCUGGGGGAAGAUAAAAAAUAGGAUAGAAGAGUAUGAGGAAAAAUAUUUCACAUUAGUGGUGGUGAUUUUAAAAAAAGACUUCAUGCUAAUUAUAAUUAUAGAACCUAUCCUAUAUUUUUGCUCUUGGACUACUCACACUCUUCGAAAUGCAACAGCUGGGCUCGUCUUAAUGCUUGAAAUGAACAGUGGCUGCUAAUUACAACGAAAAUAAAAUACACAGUCUGGUCUGAUUUUGGCAUCUCGAAGUUAGACUCCCUUUCACUGUAUCUCAUUGUGUUUGUUUUUGCUGCAGUGUGUUAGCUCUGGAUUUGCCCUCAUUUGUGGUGGAGUCUUGGAAGUUGCAUGUUUCCCCAUUGGUGGUAGAAAUCUUGCUUUGCUCUGGAAGAUGGCCCAGAUGGAGGGGUGUGGGUGAAGGGAAACAUCUACCCUUACCAUCUCCCAGUGGACUUAGGGGUGCUGUGUGGAUUCCUCCUUUACGAGGGACAGUUUUUAACAUUGUCAAGAGCAGAAUUUUGCCUGGUUUAACCUUCAACUUGAAAAUCGCUGGCCUCCCUGGCUUCUGGGAACCAUAGGCUGAAAAACAUUGGAUCUCACAGACAAACUAGUACCUUGAAUUUCAGGACAAGUGGACAUUUAAGUGACUUGGAGAGGCUCCCGAAUAUUUCCAUUACCUACUGGCGUAAUGGAAAUAUUUUUUGAUUGGAAUGUCGUAAGUCCCCACUAAUAAGCUCCAAAAAAUUGGGAAGAUUUUUGUUUUUCAAAUUUUAAAAAAAGUAUUCGGAUAAUAACUUACACCUGUCUUAUAUUUUCAGUGCAUUUUCAGAUCCCCACUCUCAUUUUAGCCUUGUAACACUAUGAGGUAAUCAGGAAAGGCAUCAUCCUCAUUUGACAGAAGUAAAUGGUGGUGACAGUUAAAAUCCAGCUUUAAAUAAGCUGGAGUCAGAGGUAAGUGUUUUGAAUUCUGACUUCUGCCACUUAGUAGCUGUGUUGCCCUGGGCAAAUUACUUAGCCUCUCUGAGCCACAUUUUCAUGGACUGUAAGAAUAGAGUACCUGGGUGUAUGAAGAAUUAAAGGAUAACAUGUGGGGAUCCUUGUAACUUAGCAAAGAAUUUCUAAUUAGUAGCUAAGUUUCACACUGGUUAAUUGUAGGGUGUAGGUCAGAGAACUAGUUUGUACACAGGUGUCCUGAUGUGUGCUACUGAGGAAGGAGCAUUGGCCUGAAAGUUUACUUAUUAGUGCUGACCAGGCCACGGAUCAUCCACGUGCUCUAGAGCUUACCCUGUCCUAUGUUUAUACUAUUUACAUUUAAAUAAUUACAAUUAAAUGAAUAGCAAUUAAACAACAUCAUACGUUUAAUGCCAGAGUUACACUAGCCUCAUUUCAAGAGCUCAGUAUCCAUUGUGGCUGGUGGUUCCUGUAAUUGGAUAACUCAGCUGUCGAACAUUUUGGUCAUCCCUGUAAGUGCUGUUGGACAGUGUUGCUGCAGCAGGUAAUGAACCUUAUGGUCCCCAGUUUGCAUUUUGCGGAUUUGGUAGAAUGCAGCCAUCAGGAGUAGAUCUUUGGAGUUACACUGUCUUCUGGUUCUCAUCCUGGUUUCUCCUUCUUGUCAGUUAUCUGACUGUGUGGACAAACUGCUUAUCCUCUUUGAGCUUCAGGGUGAUCAUCUGUAAAAUCGGGAUCGUCAUAGCCCCCUUACAGACUUCUUGUAAAUAUUAUAGGAGAUGUUGUAUAUACUAAGAGCUCAAAAGAUGGCCUAUAUGUAUUUACAUGAAGCUCAGCACUUGCUUGCCCAGGUCUUGUAAGUGGGGGCCUCUAGCUGCCUUCAGAGCUCAAGUUCUUUAAACAGCACUGCAGUGCAGCACCUUCUGACCUUGUAGGAGUGGACAUCUUAAUUAUGGGACUUAAAAUAGUAGAGGGAUAUUUUCCUUGCAGUGCCGUUUUGGCUGCAGCUGGGUUUAGUCUGAAGACAAGUGCCUGCGCCUCUUGGCCCAGGCCCCUGGGCAUCUGGCCCUUUCCUAGUGGCUCUGCGAAGAGCUCUUGACUUAGGGAGAGGGUUUCCAUGACCUCUUCAGCCUGAGAUUGGCUUGAGGUUCCAUUCCCACCCUUUCCUUAUCUCUGGGGCUAAACUUGGGCAGGCUGUGUGUGCUCCUUGUCUUGUGCUAGAUUUUCCUAUGCAAGGUGCAGCUUCCAGAAUAAAGGCAGAUCCUUGUUCUGUUAACCUUUCUCCUCACCAGCAACACACUUCAUUCCAAGUCCUGGGCAGAGGUGGAGAGACACUUGGGUACUUUCCACCAUGCGUUCAUAAAGGGAAUACAUGCCAAACACAGCUAUAAAAAUGAUGGUGUAUUUUAAAUAUUUAUGCCUAAUAAAUCAGUGCUCUUACUGCAUACAAAAUAGCCAUGUGGAGUGACUGCCAUUAUUAGAUGAUUAUGGUUUCAUAAAAGAUAUUAAUUACUGAUGUCUCGGAGGAUGUGUGGUCUGGUAAUGGGGCUUCUGUGUAAAGUUGUAGUGAUAGUGGUAUAAUUUCAUUCCAAUCAGUACCUUAUAGUCACGUAUAUCUAAGCUCACUAUGAGACAGUGCUGGAAGGCUGAAUUUGAAGCCCUCUGUGACUAAGAGACCUUGGGACUAAAAGCUCUCAAAAGCUCUUAUGAUAGCCCUGGGAGGGCACAGUCUAGCCUAUAAAAAUUAAAAAACAAUUUUUUUUUAACAGCAAGGAACGUGGAUAUUUUAAUGCAUAGGGAUUCUUAGAGGAGAGGAAAGAUCCAGGCUACCUCAUAAAGGAGAACUUGUUUGCUUUCUGACAUAAAUAUUUGCUUUUCUUUUCUCUAUUAUGUGGACUUACUGUUUAUUUCUCUCAUCUUGCUUUCUACUUCAAUAGUUCCUGAUUUAUGGACCAUUGCUUACUUGUGUUCCCCUGUGAAGCUGUGAAAUUAAAUGAAGUUCUUUUAUCCAAAUAAUGCGAAGUACAGUGUGGUUCUCUGAGGUCUCUGUGAAGUGACUUUAUUUGUUUUUUGUUUUUUUUGCGGUACGCGGGCCUCUCACUGUUGUGGCCUCCCCCGUUGCGGAGCACAGGCUCCGGACGCGCAGGCUCAGCGGCUAUGGCUCACGGGCCCAGCCGCUCCGCGGCGUGUGGGAUCUUCCCAGACCGGGGCACGAACCCGCGUCCCCUGCAUCGGCAGGCGGACUCUCAACCACUGCACCACCAGGGAAGCCCCUGUGAAGUGACUUUAAAACAACUGGCGAGCAUGGCAGCUCUGGGCUUUUCUGUCCUUUAAAAUUUGCUCACAUAAUUGGGAUUAAAAGAACUGGAACCGAUGGGAAUUCCCUGGCAGUCCAGUGGGGAGGACUCCACGCUCUCACUGCCGAGGGUGCAGGGUCAGUCCCUGGUUGGGGAACUAAGAUCCCACAAGCUGAGUGGUGUGACCAAAAAAAUAAAAUAAGAUAACUGGAACUGACAACAAGAUUUAGAUAGCCUGAUUCCAAAUUUGAGUGCUUUUCUCUAAGUACAUUUUCUUUUUAGAUAAAUAUUAUGUUUUUUAAAAAAACAAAUUGAAGUGUUCGGUGGCCAGCGUUUUAAAUAAAUCAUUUAUCUGCCCCUCCAUUUCCCCCUCUUCCUCUCAAUUAUCCUCUCAUUAUUCACUCACACCCUCACUCAUUCCAUCACUCAGCACUCCUAGAGUGGACAGAAACAUUAGUUGGGAGCAGCUACUUUCUGGUAACUUUGCCAGAUUACUUAACCUCACUGUGUCUUAGUUUUCCAGAUUUGUAAAAUGGGAAUAAUGAUGUUACUAGCCCCAGAAGGUAAGUACCAUAGGUACAGUUUAUAAAUUGGUGGGAGGUUUGAAUGAGUUAAUGCAUAUAAAGUACCUGGCACCCAGGAAGUCCUCAGUACAUUGUCAUUAAUAUUGCGUUUUUUUGAUGUUUUUAUUAUUAGUCAUCAUUAUCCUUUAAUUCACUUGCUCCCUCAAUCAUUCAAUAACUGGAUGCCUUCAAAGGCAAUGUGCUAGAUAUUAACGGAAAGAUGUGGUUUUGCAUUCAUGGAUUCUUGAAACUAAUAUUUAUUUAAAAAAAAUUCUGUUUAUACUGGGAAGGGAAUUCUUAAUGGAAUUGUGAUGGCCAAUCUGCAUGUUUGUAUCUCCCUCCCCCUUUUAAAUAUACAAAUAUAAUGCCAUUAUAUAUUUUUCAAAAUAUAAAACCAUUUUUUUUUGUUAUUAAUGUUGUGCUACGGAGAGGAGGGGAGAUUUUACCUUUGUUUUGCUUUGGAGCAACUUGACGUUCUACCUGAGUCCAGUUUUUUGUAGUAGCCCUUGCAAUCCACUUUUGGUACUGAUGGCAACCCCGUUUCCUCAUUUAUUGAACAUGUAUGUGAGCCUUUUGUAAGACUGUUAGCCUCUCGAGUUCUGUGAUAAAUUAGUAGCCAUCCUCUGGCCCUGAGCAUGUAACUAGAAGCAUCCUGAGUAUUGGAUGGAGUUUGCAGUGUUUUAGGAACAUGUGAGAGGUUGUUCUUAACAUCAUCUGAGUAGGGGGUGGCAGGUCAAGGACUUGCAGGAAAUAGCAUUUAAGCUGAGACCUUGUUCAUGAAUUCAGUCUCUUCUAAGAAGGGCCAAAGUGAUCACAGUGGCCUAUUUGGUAGCCUGAUCAUUUUGGUCAUAUGCAGGGAUAUUGUCAGUGGCUAGUUGGAGCUAGUUGGUAUCCAGGCUCUUCCUUGUUGGAAAUGUACGUGGUAAACAAUUGGGAAAAGUUGGAAAUGCCUAUCUACCUGUCUUGGUCUCACUGAAAAUUCUUUACAUUUGCCAUUCCGAAAAGUUCGAUGAGAUUGAAGGUUAUAGAAGUGAGUACAAGACUAAUAGACUGUGUAAAGGAUGAAUCCCUUGCCUUUUUCCCCCUGGUACUUUGAGAGUCUAAAAUAAACUUCAUUUCCAGUAUUGGAUUGUUUAUUUACUAACCACCUUUUUGGAGGAAAUGUCAUAUUGUCCCAGAACAAUAGGGCUCUGAUUUCAGACAGUGAUUUGGGAUAGACCCAAUUUGGCUCAAGUUUUUUGCAUCUGUGAGUUCAGGUGAAAAGGCUAGUGGUGUUGCAGAAAAUCCAGGAGAACUGGAAAUGGAAAACUAAAACAAAAUUAUUGUCCAUUUUUAACCUACACCAUGACUCAAUUUAGAACCAUAAGUCAAGAAGGAUGUAUUGUAUUAAAUGCUGCAGAGUUCUACCCUAGUUGAUAGAUUCCCUAUCCUUCAUUGGCUUUUGGAUAACCAACUCAAGGGCAAGGGUUUAGGAUUGGGGUAGCAAAUAGGUUAGGUCUUGUUUCCUCAAGCCCAUGGCAGACACAGCUGAUCAAUCUUAGCACCUUCUCCCACCAAAACGUAGUUGUGUUGGCAGAGUUAUUCUCAAGUUAUGAAAAUUGGUACAUGAAAUGAAACGUGUGUUAUUCAUGAUAAUAUGACAUGAUUUUUUUUGAUGUGUCCCAGAUUUUACCCAUAUUAACUUUAAAGAAAGAUUGGCUUAUCUUAGAAGAAGAGUUAAUAUUUGCAGAGAUCCUUAGGUUCAGUUGAAGAAAUAGGUUCUAUAAAUACAUUUACAACCUAUACGAAUUUUAUCCAUGGAUGAGUUCGGGUGUGCACCUGGAUUUGUCUCUUGCAUCUGAAUCAGGGCCAACCUCUCUGCUCUACUAGAAGUAUGUAAUUAAGGUAAAGGGAUUUGAACAGGCCAGCCAGUCCUAAAAUUAGCUCUUGCUUUGAUGUUCCCCAGGUGCAAAUGCACACAUCCCUGUUCCUUUCACCCUCGAUGCACUUAAUCUCGUUUUCUAAGGCUUGUGCAUGCCUUACCAAGGUUGUGGAAAGUUUGGCUUUGGCUCUUAUUGGGGAACUGAGAUUGUUUUCUCUUGUGGUUCAUUAAUCAUAUUUGAAACAUCACUUGGAACCUGAGAAGCUUGUUUGUCUAAAUAUUCUUUUUUUUUUUGCCGUACGCGGGCCUCUCACUGUUGUGGCCUCUCUCGUUGCGGAGCACAGGCUCCGGAUGCACAGGCUCAGCAGCCAUGGCUCACGGGCCCAGCCGCUCCGCGGCCUGUGGGAUCUUCCCGGACGGGGGCACGAACCCGCGUCCCCUGCAUCGUCAGGCGGACUCUCAAUCACUGUGCCACCAGUGAAGCCCUGUCUAAAUAUUCUUUUAAGGAGAAGUCUUACAUUGCUUGUAUUUCGUUUGUUAUAGUCCAAUAGUCUUCUUUCAAGCUUUUUUGGGCUGAUAUGUUGAGAAGUAUGUUGUAUUCCUCGGUUGUCCUUUCUUUUAAGUGAAGAUAGACAGUGCAAUUAAGGAAGGGGUUUUAAGCUUGCCUGUCAAGGGGUACCAGUAUAGCUACAAAUUUCCCACCGGCUGCUUUGGGAGUGAAGCCCUUGGACUCCCUGCAUCUUUGGGCAAGUUACGUAACCUGUUUUGAGUAAAAUGGAGAUAAUAACAGUACCUACCUCUUAGGGUUGUUACGAGGAUUAAAUCAAAUGACAUAACAGAGAUGAGUAAGUGAACUGGCACGUGAAACUUACUUAAGAUGUAAACAGUUACUCCACAGAGAUGGGCUGCCAGGGCAGGGACUUGGAUGAGGCACUCACCUUGGCUGUAAAAUUUAAGGGGUGCCAAAACCUCAAUAACCAAGGUAAAUAAUAGUGAAUGUAAUAGUUCAAAAAUCGGAAUUAAUGAAAAAAUUUAUGAAAGACAAAAUAUUAAAAUUUAAGAUAAGCUCAGGAUCUGACCCUGCACUCGGACGCCCCAUCCUCAGUCUUCUAACCUGCCUCUAGCCCUGGCAGUUGCUCAGGGGUGCUCUCACCCAGGGCCAAGGGCUCAGCAGCUCUGUCAGGAAUGGUGAUCCGUUGUACUGACCCAGUUUGCAGGCCAGUUCUUCUUGAGUCAUCAGCACAUAUUUUCAAGAUGACUCUCUAAACCCAGGGGUGGGUGCAGCUGAAUCCUGCAAUAUUGCUGAGCUCAUAGUUUAUAAGGAGACUCACUUUGUAUCCUUGGUCACAUAGCCUGGUGCUAGAACCGUCUGAGCGAUGCUGCCACAGACCUUGGAGUAAUUGGCAUGUCCUGUUAUCACAUAUGGUAUUCACUCUUAAUGAGUUCCUUUGGGCCCCACAUCAUCAAGUGUAUCAAUGCAGCUCUUCUUUAGAGAGAUGAGGUAUAGGUCCCAGGUCCUACUGCUGGCCUGCGUUCUGCAAACAAAAUGAGGAACAGGGAGAGAGAAAGAAGAUUCCAGAAGAGGCAUCAAUUUUUGCUCAUCAUUCUCUGGGUAUUUUACGGCUGUAGUAAAACAGAGAUGCUGCCGUUCAAUUCCCUGAAGUGAAAACAGUUAAGAGUUUUACAAGCACAUCCCCAAAGAAGCUAAUCGAGGUUUUCUGGGGUUGCUGGGCUACGUUGCUUUGAGGAAAAAUAGCACAACCCUGAAGAGGAAGAAUAGCUGAAACCACCAUCCCAGUGAGCUUUCAGCCAACUGCUCCUGAAGGAAACCGAACGUAACCGCUACGAAGGUUUUUGUUGGAUGGUAAUUUGAUUAAGCAGCAGGCUACUUCCCAGGCUUGGGAAUGUGAUCUCUUGAAGAUAGAAAUAUUAUGGUCCACAUAGAAGCUGGAGGAGUAGCAAGGGCUUGUAGGCUGAGGUUGUGCCUUGUUUGAUAAAUUACUGUUAAAAAAAAAAAAAUUGGACUGGGCUUUUAAUGUUCAAUUCUUAUGUAUUGUUCCAGAGAUGUUGAGAUCUCUAUGUAUUGGCUGUGGCAGAAAACAAAACAAACAAACAAACAGAAAAAACAAAACAAAAAGCUGGGUGUUCUCUCUAACUUGACUCCUUUUUCUGGAAUUAAAAAAAAGUGAGUGAGUAAAGUGGAUAUUUAGUCUCUCUGGAUGAAGGAAGAGAUGCUUCCUGUAUCCUUAAAAUUGUUGCCCUGUGAUUGAAGAAAUGUAGAGCUGAGUUACCCAUGUCAUAUGAUUUCAGAUUACACCUGGCAGUGAAGAAGCUGAGCCCACCGGUGGAGGUUGGUAGUAUCUGGGGUGAUGGGGGAGGAAAUUGACCUGGGGUAGGAUAUGCGUUAGAUCCCUUCAUUUAACCCUUUCUUCCCAGCAUCCAGCAGUAAGCAGAACAGAGAUCUCUGCUCUGAUGGGGAGGCACAGGAUGUGGUGGUUAAGAGUAUGGAUUCUAGAGCCACACGCUUCUGGAUUUGAAUCCUAGCUUUACUACUGAGUAGCGGUGUGUCCUGGACAAGUCAUUUAACCUCUGUGUGCUUGGUGUUCCCAUUUGUGAGACGAGGAUAAACGUAUUAGCUGCCUUAUCUGGUUGUUGAGAGAACUCAGGUACAUAGAACUCUGCCUGGCACCUAGUGAGUUUUAUAUACAACAUCAGCCUUAGUUUUUUAUCAGCUUCUCUUAUUAGACAACUUGCGGCUUUACGUGUACCCAUAUGACAGGUAAUAGGCAGGUUAAUGAAUAAAUGUAGACAAAAAUAACAGCUAAUGAUAAGAGAUAAUGGGAGAAGCAAUAUUAGAUUGGCUGGUCGGGGAUGGCUUCUCUGAGAAGUUGAUAUUUGAGACAGGACCUGGAUUCUGAGGAGUUGGCCUCUUGAUGAUCUGGGGGCAGAGGGAGCAGCGCCAACAAAGGCCCUGAGACAGAAAAGAACUUAGUGAGCCUGAGGAAGAGCUAAAAGACCAGUGUGACUCUAGUGCCAUACAGAUGAACGAUGGCUCAAACACGAGGUAGCGGCCAUUUCAUGUAGAGCUUUGUAGACCGUGGAGGUGAACUUGGAUUUUAUUGUGAGGAUAUUGUAAGGUGGAUGUUGUAGUGAGCAGUGACGUGAUCUGGUUUUGGAAAAGCUACCCUGGAACCUGUACCUAAGUGUGCUCUCAGGAUAAAGUCAAGUGGAGUUGCCCACGGGUUGAAGGUGACAAUGACACUGGCAGUGAUGUUGACACCCUUACAGGCAUGCCAUUGGGUGGGGAAGGAGACCCCAGGGUUAGAUUCUAUGAUGACCUCUGGUCUCCUUUCCAACACUGAGUUGCUUAAAGUACAAAUUAAAUGGAAGGAGACCCCGUAACACCACCAUCUUUUAUAAAUAGAUAUUGAGCAUAACUAAAAAAGCCCAGGGUUAAGUGCUUUAAUUGACAUUUUGGUUUCCUGAAAUUAAAAUUUGAAUGAUUGCCUUCUGGAGUGGUUUCCUUUUCUUAUUAACUUGAAAUAUUCUGACGAUUUCUGCUUGAAAAUACCUGUAAGAGAUGCUGCUGAGAAUGAAGGUGUUCUUUGAAGAUGCCUUCUGCCUGUUGUUGCUUUUGAACAAAGCAAGUGUGAAAGUGUGUAAUUUGAAUUAGGGCAGGUAAUAAAGCUUCUACUAAUUUAGUAUCACGACUUCUAAUGCUUUUCUUGGUUUACCUGUCCUUUAAGGUAAGUGCGUUUUGAUUGACUGUUAUAUGUAACUGAGUUUGGUUCAAAAGACGAACAGAAUCAAAUGCAAGAGUAAUUAACUCUAGAACAUGAUCAGAAAUGUUUUACCAUCAAUAAACUCAAUGGUGAGAAAGGACUUUUAUAUCUUUUUUUUUUAAUUGAAGCAUAUAAUUGAUUUACAAUGUGGUGUUUCAGGUGUACAGCAAAGUGAUUCAGUUAUACAUAUAAUACAAUACAAUACAAUACAAUAUAAUAGUAUGUGUAUAACUUUUUCAGAUUCUUUCCAUUAUGCGUUAUUACAAGAUAUUGAAUAUAGUUCCCUGUGCUAUACAGUAGGAUCUUGUUGUUUAUCUAUUUUAUAUAUAGUGGUGUGUAUCUGUUAAUCCCAAACUCCCCAUUUAUAGUCCCACCCCCUUUCUCCUUGGGUUACCAUAAGUUUGUUUUCUAUGUCUGUGAGUCUGUUUCUGUUUUGUAAAUAAGUUCAUUUGUAUCAUUUUUUUUUCAAGUCCACAUAUAAUUGACAUCAUAUGAUAUUUGUCUUUCUCUCUCUGAGAAACCUGAGAAAAGUCUUAUAAAUAAAUUUUGCAUGGCCUGUAUUUUAACACUCCCACCUCACUUUGUUUAAAAAAUAGUCACGUACAAUAAUUUCCAUCAUUUGAAGGUGUUGACGAUGAUUUGCUUUACUUGUGAAUAUCUUACGACUCAAAAGCUUUUAUAAUAUCAUCUAGUGUCACAGGCUGGCUAGGGAGGGGCAGCAAGGGGUGAUAACUCACAGAAAGAAAACACAACUGAGGUUACCAAAUGCUUCUGGCUUUUUCAGCACUUGGAGUAGAACUUUGAUGAAACAUUUUCAAAGGGCAAUUCUGAAGGUACCAGGAUGGGAAACUGCCCUUUGGGAGAGGGACCCUCUCCAUCAUUCAGCGGCAACUGAGUGCAGCCUGGCAUUUGUUUCUCCUUAAUUCCAUAUUAAAAAAAAAAAAAAGAUUUAAAGUACUUUGUAUUAAUAUAUGCUGGCCACUGCCACCAUCCUCUGGAAACAUUUAAAAAGAGGAAGAAUGUGCCAUAUAAGGAUACUCGGGGGCUUGAUCCAGUCACAGAAGAGCUCAAAAACAAGGGUCAACAUCUGUCAGUUAUGACUUAAUUUUAGUUCAAGUCUGAGUGACAUUUGAUUCCAGACAAAGAAAUAAGAGGGAAACUGGUGCAAAGCUUUUGGUGAUGUACAAGCCAUCUUCCAAUUCAGACUUGGGUAAUAAGGCAUUCUAGAAAAGUGUUUCCUUCUAUUUUAUGCCUUACAUAAAAUGUAAUGUGUUUAUACAAGGGCUAGAAACACCAGCCUAUUUUGUGGUCUAAACUGUUUUUCAUUUAGAUCUAACCUGUGCUCCAGAAAGAGUGGGAUGUGAUUUUGGCAAUUUGCCUUCUUGGCACUGAUGUAUUUGCUGAGUUAAGUUCUGAAUUUUUAGAGUGAAAACCACUAUUGCCAUGAGUUAGAGGUUAGACAGCAGGAGUAUUUCAGUCAUUUUUGGAUCAGGAAGAAAAUCAAAGUUGACAUUUACCAUAGAUAGUUACUUUUUCUUCUUUAUAGAUAUUUCCUUUUUUUAUCUUUGCAACACAACGUGAAUGAUUGUAUAAGCUUUUGAAACUGUGCAAAAAUAAUUCUGCCUCGGGCUUCCCUGGUGGCGCAGUGGUUGAGAGUGUGCCUGCUGAUGCAGGGGACACGGGUUCGUGCCCCGGUCCGGGAAGAUCCCACAUGCCGCAGAGCGGCUGGGCCCGUGAGCCAUGGCAGCUGAGCCUGCGCGUCCGGAGCCUGUGUUCUGCAACGGGAGAGGCCACAACAGUGA